GCGGGAGGCGCCGUUGCCUGCGCCGGGAGCGGCCCGGCGCCGCCUCGGGGGGAGACGAGGCGCCGCUUCCAGCUGGCGGAGCUUAAAAGGGGCCUGGCGACGGGGGAGCCGCUGCUGCAGCCCGCGGGAGGAGCCGGCGACUGGGGCGCCUGCGGCUUCACGGGCGUUUAGAUGCAGGCUCUUUGCAGGUUUUUUUUUUUUUUGUAGAUCUACUUACCAACAACUACUGAAGAUGAAUGAAUUUAAAUACAAGUACAAUCAGCUAAGCUACACCUCCCUGAGGAAAUGAUGACAUCCCAGUGGUGUGCUGCUGUCUUGGAGUGUUUUGAAGCCCAGGUUGCUGGCCUGGUGGAAACGUUUCUGGUGGAGGUAGACAGUGCAAACUCUAUCAGUUCACAAGCAGUAUCAAAGACAGGGGAGUUUUACCAUAACAUUACAAAGAAUUUUAUUAUGCUUGUGGAGCUGAUACAACGAGCAUAUAAGCAAUGGACCCAGGUCUACAAGCACCUGCGCAACCAUGGUUACGAUUCCAAGCUGCAUCCAUGUACUGAAUGUGAGAUGUUUCUUACAAAUAUCAUGGGACAUCUAGACCCUCUUGGAUCACUGGCUUCAGCUCUAUCAUGA
rnacentral:lncRNA from 1 species